AUAUCUUCUACUCAUUAUUAGUUCCUGCCUGCAGGAAACUAUAGCGGAGGCUUCAGCAGUAAACGGUGAUUAAUCUUUCCCUUCUCAGCCAAUGAACUUGUGAGACAGUUUUGUAUAAUUUUAUUUUCAACUAUGUAGCAUCAAGAAAGUUGCUCAAUUUUUAGUAGAAAUUUUGGUGCCUGAUAUUUUGGCAAUCGCUGAUUUGCAUUGCACACGGUUGGUAGAGGCUUUCAGAGUGGUUCACAGUUUCCUAUAAGAGAGAACGCACAAUUAACAAAGUGAAACAGGAAUCCUCGGGUAUAGCUUCUGAAAAUUGCAGAUUGUCAUUGGAAGAUGCGUGGCCUGCAUGCAAAACAACACGCCCCUUAUCUAUGUUUCAAAGAAAGAUGUGUGGCAUGCAUGCAAAACAACACACACCUCUUAUCUAUGUUUCCACAUUUUCCAUUAUAUCUUACAUCUAUUAAAAUUCCUUUGAGACACAUUGAUUGAAUUUCCUUCACGUUUUUUUAGCAGCAGGAGUGCCUGUGGAUAUGGAGAUUUAUAUAGGCAAAUCUAUAGAAUCAAUACAGCGGCUCUUAGCAGUGAUCUAUUUUCAAGCGGGCAGUCCUGUAGUGCCUAUUUUGUACUAAAAUGUGUAGAUGAUAUAGUUUAUUACCACCAUGGAACAUCAAUUACAGUGACUAACUUCUGUCCACCCAGGAGAUGCAGGAGGGUGGUGUAAUCCGCCGUUAAAGAACUUCAUAUUGCAUGUUUCUUCCUUUAAAAAGAUAGUUGUGUGGAAGAUAGGGAACAUGCAUGUCCAAUACAGAAGGUAACCGAUGGAAAACUAUCAAAUGUUUUAGGUUCUUAUUUCUGAAUGCGUCCACAAGAGGUUGCGUCAUGGAUGGCAAUGAUAGCAGGAUAUGAUAUUCAUGUCCGUAACAAGGAAGCCCUUAAAGUAUUUGAUCAUGUUGGCCAUGAUGGUUGCUCAACAUCUUGUAACAAUCAUGUGAUUCAACAGGAUGGCAGAGGAAGUAACAAACAGUGACACAUGGGGCCCAGAAAUCCAUACAAUGGCUACAAUUUCUCAAUCUGCAUUCGAUGUAGACAACUAUUGUAAAAUUGUUGAUAGUUUACAUGAGAGAUCCCACAGCUGCUAUAAGAAGUGCUUCAGAUAUUCUGCUACAAUGGAGCUUGCUUCAAGACAAUUGUAAAUGGUAACCUGAUUUCCAAAUUUGACCGUGCUGUGAUAAAUGUCCAUGUCUGUUGCACAGCUCCAGUUUGCAACACGCUGAAACGAGAUGGGUAAUACAACUUGUCCAUUGCUUGGGAAUUUUCUAGCUUGCUGGUGAAACACAUGUGAAAAUAUUGUGUAAACUAGGCUGAAAUGUAUGUAGUGAAGUCUACAGAUAUGUUUAUAGGGUAGGGAGCUCAGCUGAAAGAAUGUUUUAAAGGAUUGUUUCUAGGAUAUUUUAGAUUACAAUCAGAACUACCCAGCUGAUUCUAAAAAUAAUCUAAUUACAUCCACAAUUUAAACACCUACAAUAUACAGCUGAUUCCAAAAAUAAUUGUGCAAAACAAAACUAAGCUGCAAUGCAACUCUCAUUAAUUUGGGAUCUCUUCUGCAAACUUGAUUUCAAAUGAGUCACUAUGCAUUGAAAGCUAUUUGGAAGUGA